GGGGAUUUAGCUUAGUGGUAGAGCGCCUGCCUAGCAAGCACAAGGCCCUGGGUUCGGUCCCCAGCUCUG
rnacentral:tRNA from 1 species